rnacentral:rRNA from 1 species
CCUACGGGAGGCAGCAGUGGGGAAUAUUGCGCAAUGGGCGAAAGCCUGACGCAGCGACGCCGCGUGAGGGAUGAAGGUCUUCGGAUCGUCAACCUCUGUCAGCAGGGCAGAACGGUCACUGUGCUAAUCAGCAGUGCAUUGACGGUACCUGCAAAGGAAGCACCGGCUAACUCCGUGCCAGCAGCCGCGGUAAUACGGGGGGUGCGAGCGUUAAUCGGAAUUACUGGGCGUAAAGCUCUCGUAGGCGGUAUGUAAAGUCAAGGGUGAAAUCCCCGGGCUCAACGUGGGAACUGCCUUUGAAACGGGCAAACUGGAGGGGGUGAGAGGAUAGUGGAAUUCCAGGUGUAGGAGUGAAAUCCGGAGAUAUCUGGAGGAACAUCAGUGGCGAAGGCGACUAUCUGGCACAUAACUGACGCUGAGGAGCGAAAGCGUGGGUAGCAAACAGGAUUAGAUACCCGGGUAGUC